CUUGGGAGACAUGGCUGUUCCUCAACAAAACCCCUGCAGAACUGUCACACCUUUGGCUGGCUCAAGAGUUCCCACCCAUUUGCAUACUGUAAAGACCUCAGGCAAGGCUGCCACCUUCACUUGCCUUUGUACAAAGAGGAGUUUUAGUCGUCAACCCUGAACGUCUUGAUUAUCCUGUGCAGACACCAUCUCUUUGAAUCAUAGGAGGACCCAAUCCACAAGCCAAGGAAGACUAUCAGCUUUUUUAUUGACUUUUUAAAUGCUGUCAUGGCCAGGAAAUGGAGGAAGGCCCCACCGGUUUUCCUGGCCUCCCAGGAGGAGGGAGAUGAGUCGGUUCUGCUGUCAGAAGUCA